CUUUGCAGAUUAUUUGUAAAAUCUCUCGUAAGGAAGAAGUGGUGUAUAUUAAGGACAAAGAGAUCAAUAAGCAGAAGUUGAUGAGAAUAAUUGAUCAGUACAAGAGAAGCUGCAAAAACAGAAGAUGACCUCAACAAGCAGCGAGAAUGACAAUACAUUCAGGUGGUUUUUGGAAGAUGAUGACACAUACAUUAAUAUAAAAGAUGAAAAGAAUAUAUAUGCAUGUUGCUGUUGAAGAGCUUUAUGGAGUCAUGGAUGUUAAUUAUGAUAGGCAAAUACGUAGGAUAGAUCGUGGUGUCAGAUGGUGUCGUGUGCAAUGGUUUAUGGUGGAAUCUGAGAGAGAAUGUUAUGAUAUUUUAGGGAUUAAUCAAGGUACAUUCAAGAGUUUAUGCCAAAAGCUAUCAGAGCAAUACAAGUUAAAGGAAUCAUCUCAUGUUUAUCUUGAAGAAAGUGUGGCAAUGUUUGUUGAGAUGGUUGGACAAGAUAUUACUAUCAGACUCUAGCAGAGAGAUAUCAACAUUCUCUUGAUACUGUGAAAAGAAAGUUGGAUGAGGUUUUGAGUGUACUCUUGAAGCUUGCAGCAGAUACAUUGAAACCUUCAAGAGGUGAAUUCACUAGAGCUAGUCCUGCGUUGGUCAAGAAUCACCUGUAUAUGCCAUACUUUAAGGAUUGCAUUGGUGCACUUGACGGUACUCAUAUACCGGUUCAUCCUCUUUCUCAGAAUGCAGGACUUUUCAUAGGUUGAAAAUCAGAAGCGACAAUGUGCUUGCUAUAUGUAAUUUUGAGAUGAAAUUCAUAUAUGCAUAU